GUCACGUUUCCGGUCCGGUUCACUCUAUUGAACCGCUUGGCUAUUGGACCGGACACGAACCACCUGAACCGACGGUCAAACCGGUGACUCGGUCGAACCGGACGGUUCAAAACGAACCGAACAGUUCAAAUUAGCCCCUCAUUUUGCAAGAAGGCCCAUUGAAUUUAAUUGAUUUGUACCAAAGCCCAUGCUGAGCCUUGUCUUAUGACAAAGCCCACACACUCAACCCAACCACAUUUUGGGCUGAGUCUUGAGCCCAUUAAUCAUGGUCAUGCCUAUGCCCUGAGGAUGGCUUUUAUAGGAGUCAUUUGCAUCCUUAUUCCUCUCACUUUCCGAUGUGGGAUUGCUAACAUUAUCAAUGAAAAAAUUAUAUAACAAUCUCCACCAAAAGAGCUUGAACCUUGGACCUCCGGUACACUACCCUCCCUAAGAGACCACUCGGUUAUACCCAUUUUGUUAUCUACCAUGCCAAACUAAAUAAUAUAUUUUAGAUUUUAAAAUUUUUUAUAAUAUUAAAUAAAAAUAAUAUAAUAUUUUUAAAAAUUAUAAAAUUAGUUUAAAUUUUCAAA
rnacentral:lncRNA from 1 species